UCAGGAUGAACGCUGGCGGCGUGCCUAAUACAUGCAAGUCGAGCGAAUGGAUUGAGAGCUUGCUCUCAAGAAGUUAGCGGCGGACGGGUGAGUAACACGUGGGUAACCUGCCCAUAAGACUGGGAUAACUCCGGGAAACCGGGGCUAAUACCGGAUAACAUUUUGAACUGCAUGGUUCGAAAUUGAAAGGCGGCUUCGGCUGUCACUUAUGGAUGGACCCGCGUCGCAUUAGCUAGUUGGUGAGGUAACGGCUCACCAAGGCAACGAUGCGUAGCCGACCUGAGAGGGUGAUCGGCCACACUGGGACUGAGACACGGCCCAGACUCCUACGGGAGGCAGCAGUAGGGAAUCUUCCGCAAUGGACGAAAGUCUGACGGAGCAACGCCGCGUGAGUGAUGAAGGCUUUCGGGUCGUAAAACUCUGUUGUUAGGGAAGAACAAGUGCUAGUUGAAUAAGCUGGCACCUGAC
rnacentral:rRNA from 1 species